UGGGAUAGCUCAGUUUGUAGAGCAUGAGACCCUUAAUUUCAGGGCCAAGGGUUCGAGACCCACAUUGAGCAAAA
rnacentral:tRNA from 1 species